AAAGGGAGACCUAAUUCGGGUAUGGGAUGAAAAAAAAGUAGUCCCUACCAAGAAUCAAUCCCAAAAGGUCGGAGCGAGGCAAAAUUGGCUUUCAAACUAGGUUCUGGGUUCACACAAGACCUGAAUCAGGAACAAGGGCUAUUAGCUCAGGUGGUUAGAGCGCACCCCUGAUAAGGGUGAGGUCCCUGGUUCGAGUCCAGGAUGGCCCACCUGCACGGGUGGCAAAAACAAAGAAAAGAAGCUCCGAAUCAGCACCUUAUCUUACUUAUAUAGUAAGAGAGAAUGCUGGCUCUGAGUUCAGAGUCCAGAGGAACCUUGAAAACUGCAUAGAGCUAGGUGAAAAAGCCAAAAAAGAAGACCGCCA
rnacentral:tRNA from 1 species